rnacentral:rRNA from 1 species
GACGAACGCUGGCGGCGUGCCUAAUACAUGCAAGUAGAACGCACAGUUUAUACCUUAGCUUGCUCCACCAUAAACUGUGAGUUGCGAACGGGUGAGUAACGCGUAGGUAACCUGCCUGGUAGCGGGGGAUAACUAUUGUAAACGAUAGCUAAUACCGCAUAAUAUUUAUUAUUGCAUGAUAAUUGAUUGAAAUAUUCUAUUGCAUCACUACCAGAUGGACCUGCGUUGUAUUAGCUAGUAGGUGAGGUAACGGCUCACCUAGGCGACGAUACAUAGCCGACCUGAGAGGGUGAUCGGCCAAACUGGGACUGAGACAAGGCACAGAAUCCUACGGGAGGCAGCAGUAGGGAAUCUUCGGCAAUGGACGAAAGUCGGACCGAGCAACGCCGCGUGAGUGAAGAAGGUUGUCGGAUCGUAAAGCUCUGUUGUAAGAGAAGAAAGGGUGUGAGAGUGGAAAGUUCACACUGUGACGGUAACUAACCAGAAAGGGACGGCUAACUACGUG